CCUACGGGAGGCAGCAGUGGGGAAUAUUGGACAAUGGGCGCAAGCCUGAUCCAGCAAUACCGCGUGUGUGAAGAAGGCCUGAGGGUUGUAAAGCACUUUCAAUGGGGAGGAACACCUUAGGGCGAAUACCCUUAAGACUGACAUUACCCCAUACAAGAAGCACCGGCUAACUCCGUGCCAGCAGCCGCGGUAAUACGGAGGGUGCAAGCGUUAAUCGGAAUUACUGGGCGUAAAGCGUGCGUAGGCGGCCUGUUAAGUCAGAUGUGAAAGCCCUGGGCUCAACCUGGGAACUGCAUUUGAAACUGGCGGGCUAGAGUUAGGUAGAGGGGAGUGGAAUUUCAGGUGUAGCGGUGAAAUGCGUAGAUAUCUGAAGGAACACCAGUGGCGAAGGCGGCUCCCUGGACCCAAACUGACGCUGAGGUACGAAAGCGUGGGUAGCAAACAGGAUUAGAUACCCUGGUAGUCCACGCCGUAAACGAUGUCGACUAGCCGUUGGGCCCUUUUAGGGUUUAGUGGCGCNGCUACGCAUAGUCGACCGCCGUGGAGACGCGCGAGUAAACGUACAAGAGUAGAGCGNGAGAGNGCGAGGACGACGACGAGGGAGAGG
rnacentral:rRNA from 1 species